AAUAAGCUAAUUAAGAGCGUAAGGUGGAUGCCUUGGCUCUCAGAGGCGAUGAAGGACGUGAUAAGCUGCGAUAAGCUACGGGGAUUGGCACACACAAUUUGAUCCGUAGAUUUCCGAAUGGGGAAACCCACUAUAUUGAAGAUAUAGUAUCCGUUAAGGAAGCAAACCCAGGGAACUGAAACAUCUAAGUACCUGGAGGAAUAGAAAACAAAAGUGAUUCCGCUAGUAGUGGCGAGCGAACGCGGAUCAGCCCAAACCAAAAUUGUUUCGGCAAUUUUGGGG
rnacentral:rRNA from 1 species